GAGCCCAUUUAUUUUUUUGUUCCUCCAUGUAACCCCACAAAAAAUCACGUUUGUUCAAGAUAGCUUCAGUGAGACUCUAUCAAAUUGAAACGAACUGCAGGAACAGACACUUUUUCUCAGUGCAUGGCUGCCACUCUUGGAGAGCAGGAAAGAUGUGCAGUAGGAGCACCUGAGCGGCUCUUCACCACAGCUCAGGAGGGGAGGGGAGGACUCUGAGGCUCAGGAGGAGAGGGGAGGACUCCAUGCCUCAGGAAAAAUGGGAAGAAUACCACAAAGUCUGUGCAAGAAAAUGGCAGAGCAGGUGGAGAAGGUGGUCAAAUGCCUUAGCAUGGAUCAUAUGGUUGUGGUGAAAGAGUUAGAAUGCACACUACUCAGUGUUGAUGUACACAGAGAAGCAAUGCUCCCGGGCUGGCGCCCACCCCAAACCAGCACAAUUAAACCCGUUUACA
rnacentral:lncRNA from 1 species